rnacentral:rRNA from 1 species
AUUGAACGCUGGCGGCAGGCCUAACACAUGCAAGUCGAGCGGAUGAAGGGAGCUUGCUCCUGGAUUCAGCGGCGGACGGGUGAGUAAUGCCUAGGAAUCUGCCUGGUAGUGGGGGAUAACGUCCGGAAACGGGCGCUAAUACCGCAUACGUCCUGAGGGAGAAAGUGGGGGAUCUUCGGACCUCACGCUAUCAGAUGAGCCUAGGUCGGAUUAGCUAGUUGGUGGGGUAAAGGCCCACCAAGGCGACGAUCCGUAACUGGUCUGAGAGGAUGAUCAGUCACACUGGAACUGAGACACGGUCCGGACUCCUACGGGAGGCAGCAGUGGGGAAUAUUGGACAAUGGGCGAAAGCCUGAUCCAGCCAUGCCGCGUGUGUGAAGAAGGUCUUCGGAUUGUAAAGCACUUUAAGUUGGGAGGAAGGGCAGUAAGUUAAUACCUUGCUGUUUUGACGUUACCAACAGAAUAAGCACCGGCUAACUUCGUG